UACGAAGGGGGCUAGCGUUGCUCGGAAUCACUGGGCGUAAAGCGCACGUAGGCGGACUCUUAAGUCGGUGGUGAAAUCCUGGAGCUCAACUCCAGAACUGCCUUCGAUACUGGGAGUCUCGAGUCCGGGAGAGGUGAGUGGAACUGCGAGUGUAGAGGUGAAAUUCGUAGAUAUUCGCAAGAACACCAGUGGCGAAGGCGGCUCACUGGCCCGGUACUGACGCUGAGGUGCGCAAGCUAGGGGAGCAAACAGG
rnacentral:rRNA from 1 species